UGCCUGUGGAAUCACCUCGGCAGCGCGGCGGGGCCAGCUCCUUUUGUGCCGCCGCCGCCGUGAGGCUCCGGAGCGGCUCAGGCGGGUCGGGCUUCUCCCUCAGCUCGCCGCCAUGGGGGCAAGGAGCGGCUCGGGCGGGCCGGGCUUCUCCCUCAGCUCGCCGCCAUGGGGGCAAGGAGCGGCUCAGGCGGGCCGGGCUCCCUCAGCUCGCCGCCGUGGGGGCAAGGAGCGGCUCAGGCGGGCCAGGCUCCCUCGCCAUGAGGGGCCGCCGCCGCCAUGAGGCCUUCAGCCGAUGGGGGGAUCGAGGUGACCCGCAGCUGUCGGUGGCCGGCAGCAGCCCUGAGGUGGCCCGACCUUGUCGUGUGUGAAACGCCCAAGCUGUGCUGUGCUGUGCUGGGACAGCCAAGGAGACUCUCCAGGAGGGCACUUGAACCUGUGGAGAGGAGAUGAGAAGGAAUAACCUGCCCGUGAGAGACAGGGAGAGCUCUGGAGCCACGUGGGUGAGGUAAAUUGUUGGUGUGAGGCUUGCUGGAGCAGCAGGAGUGGUCAGAAGUAAAGCUGUCGAUGCUGCUUUGAAGAUCCUUGUUUGAAAGGUAUUGAGAAGAUGGAAACCUGGAGCCCACAGUUUAAAUGGGGCAGCUGGAGAAGAAUUUGUUUUCAGGAUGUGGAUGUAGGAAUUGGAAACAUCAAAGGUGAUUUGGGGCAAAGUAUAACAAGAAUUAUGUGUAGAGUUUAUUGUUGAUCUCCUCUCAUUGCUUUUUUGGAAAUACAUUUUUAUAUGACCUCAAUUAAACGUAUUUAUAUUUAAGCUUGCUCAGUUUGCUUUUCAUUAUCUUACAAGGCUGUUGGAUGCAGCAGGAUUUGAGAGUGGAGACUGGAGAGGCUGUAGUGAGGCACCAGCUCUCAUCCCUAGGCCUGGGGGGAAAUGAGCCCACAAAGGAAGGUUGGAAAAGGCUGAUGGAUGUGUAAAAUACAUCAGAACUGGUGGGGAGGGACAGACAGGGCUUCAGACAAAAAUGGUAUUUAAAUGCAAAAGCUGGAACAAAAGGAGUAAUUUGCUUUCCAAAAUGAGAUUUGGAUCCCUUUGGAUUCCUUGCAGUCUUCUAGGAAACCCUGACUUUGUGAAAUAAUCCAGACUCCUUAAAUGUCCCUGGCACUGUUAGUUUAGCCAUGAGCCCUUCUGCCACCUGAAUAUCCAGAGCUUUGAAUGCCCUUUUUUUGUACUGCACAUGGGAAUACUUGUUAAAAUACUAAUCACUGGGGAAUAAAAGUUUUUCCUGGUUGAA